rnacentral:rRNA from 1 species
CCUACGGGAGGCAGCAGUGGGGAAUAUUGCACAAUGGGGGAAACCCUGAUGCAGCGACGCCGCGUGAGCGAAGAAGUAUUUCGGUAUGUAAAGCUCUAUCAGCAGGGAAGAAAAAUGACGGCACCUGAGUAAGAAGCACCGGCUAAAUACGUGCCAGUAGCCGCGGUAAUACGUAUGGUGCAAGCGUUAUCCGGAUUUACUGGGGGUAAAGGGAGCGCAGGCGGUGCGGCAAGGCUGAUGGGAAAGACCGGGGCGCAACCACGGGACUGCAGUGGAAAGUA